CUGGUUUUGCAUGGAGAAGCAGAACAUGAUGAAGCAUUUUUCUCCCCCAUUUAAAGAUCCAGUCAUGUUCCAGUUUGCAGGGGCAGAAGGGCUGGUUUGCAGUUGGUGCUGGGAGGAUAGAGUUUCUUCCACAGAAUUAUCUCACUAAAUAACUCUCGCUAAAGCCUAACAAGACUUGUCAUCAAGCCCAUUUUCCGGAGGGAGAAACCGAGACUCCAAGAACUACAGAACCUAUUUCUGUGUCUCAAUACGUAGGCCGGCUCUCCGACUUGACGGAAUCGCUCUGGCAACAGCGCCCUCUAAAGGCGGAGGCGAGUAUGCCUGCGUAACAGUCGUGCCCCGUCCUUUGGCGCUGGAAAUGGCGGAGGGCUCCCUCUGGCUUCUGAGGAUUGUCCAGCGCCCCUCCGAGGUCCUGGAGAAGCCAGGAGCGCUGCCUACAACUCGGCCUUGACUUCCCCGCAGCCUUGGUCGCCGCAGCAUUGGGUCAGAGGCAUCCCUGGAGAUUGCAGAAAGUUAGCGGCGGCCCCUGUUGACGCAGCGAGUGACGGCCCGACAUACCCUGAUAGGCCACGGGGAGGGCCAGACGCAGAGCCUUGAAAGAAGGAGCUUGCGCUCUGGAAGGGGCGUGGCCAGCGCUCUUCCUCGAGGGCGGGGCUCUAGGGGAAGGGGCUCUUCUCUGGGAUAUUGUGCCACAAGCGAGGACACCCGUGCACCUAGCCCAGGGCCUGUGUCCUGGCGUCAGCGCAUCUGUGGGCAGCAACUUUACCCUCCCCAGACCUCAGUUUCUGCACCUGUAAGACGGAGGCUCUUCCACAACUGCAAAAAUCGGAGUUUCAUCCAGCAUUCUCAGAAUUCCUGUCUCCAGGCAGGCACUGAGGAAUCAGAGCUGCGUUCCUGUGGAGGCUCAGAGCUCUGAGAUCUCCUUCACUUGCUGCAUCAGUACUCCUGACACUGGAGAGUUCUGGAGGUUGGAGACCAGCCCCUUCCUGGUGGAACAGGCACCCUGUAGCCUGGGAUGUGACAGUCAUAUGACAGGGCCUGUAACAAGUAACAGUGGUAGCCCAAAUAUGUCGAGCACUUACUAUAUGCCUGGCUUUUCAUGAAGUCUGUCGCAUACGUUAUUUACACCCCCACCCGCACAGCCGUGUCUGGUGGUCCUGUUCUUGACAUCCUGUUUACUGAUGAGCCCAGAGUCACACAAUAGUAGCCAGUCCAAGGUCACCCAGCUAAUAAAUGGCUGAAGCAGUAGUCCACAGUCUCAUCCACUGUUCCGUACCAAAAAAAAAAAUGUUUAACCUGGAAGGGAGAUGGCAGAGGGGGAAAAUUACAAGAUCCUACCAGUGUUAAUCUAUACCACGAGUUGAGCCCUUAGUAUGUGUUGGAAGCUGGCCUACAGAUCAGCACCAUUUAUACUCCUGACAGUGACCUUAUACUAUAGGGUUGUUAUUUCCACUUCUGAGAGGUCAUCUCAUAUGUCUCUGGUCACACUGCUAGUACAAAACUGGAACUUUGAGUUUAAUGGAUGGUACACUCAGCCUGCCUGUAUAUCACUCUUAGGAAGACCCCACUCUUCUCUGAGCCUGUUUCCCGUUCUGCACAAUGAGAGGUUUGGACCAGAAGGCUCUGGACAUUGUUUCCUGAGCUCACAUUCUUUGAUUUUAGGAGCAUUGACAUGAUGUCCAGAGUCCUGGGUUUGUUCCUAAUUAUCUAUGACUUGGGAACGCCUCGGCCUAAUCCCUUGCAUCUCUGGGCCUCAGUUUCCCCCUUUGUAAAAUGUGGAGAUGAGAAAGUCUCAAUCACCAAGGGACCUUCUGGCUUUAAUAUUUUAUGACUGCAAAUGAAGAGACAAGCUGAGGUUCAGCAAAUUGUGCAUCCUCUGAGAAAUUCUAAUGAAUGUGAUUCUGCCACCUUGCUCAAAACAUUCCUGGUGCAAGGCUUCCAAGGACAGAUGCCCAUGUAGGUCAAGGGGAACAGCCACCUCCAGAUAAUCAGCAUUAACUGCUGGAGGAGGCUCACUCUCCUGAUGGUCCAAAAUCCACCCCUGUGGUCAGACCAGCUUAAGACUGAAUGCCAGCACUUCCCCCUGGGCACCUCAGAGAAGUGACCCUUUCUGUGCCUUAGUUUCUACAUCUGUAAAAUAGGGUGCUAACAGGACCAGCUUCAUUUGAGAUUUGAUGGAAAAACAUGUGCAAAAAGCCUAACAUGGACAUUCCCUGGUGGCUCAGUGGGUUAAGGACCUGGCAUUGUCACUGUCGUGGCACAGGUUUGAUUCCUGGCCCAGGAACUUCCUCAUGCCAAGGGUACAACCCCAAAAAAAAGCCUAACAUGCUACUUCUGGCUUAGGAAAACCCCCAAUAAAUACAACUGUUACC
rnacentral:lncRNA from 1 species